GACAAGAAAUAACAAUACGGGGCUUAAAGUCUUGUAAUUGGAAUGAUGGGAAUCUAAACCUCUUCCAGAGUAUCAAUUGGAGGGCAAGUCUGGUGCCAGCAGCCGCGGUAAUUCCAGCUCCAAUAGCGUAUAUUAAAAUUGUUGCAGUUAAAAAGCUCGUAGUUGAAUUUCUGCUGCAUUGCCUCUGCCCCUCGACGGGCGUUUGCAUUGCGGCUUUUUUCGGACUGUGUUCGCACGCUCCGGAUGAUUACUUUGAGAAAAUUAGAGUGCUCAAAGCAGGCUUUUGCCUUGAAUAGUUUAGCAUGGAAUAAUAGAGUAGGACUUUGGUUCUAUUUUGUUGGUUUUAGGUACCAAAGUAAUGGUUAAUAGGAACAGUUGGGGGCAUUCGUAUUUAACUGUCAGAGGUGAAAUUCUUAG
rnacentral:rRNA from 1 species